rnacentral:rRNA from 1 species
CAGCUUGUUGGUGAGGUAACGGCUCACCAAGGCUUCGACGGGUAGCCGGCCUGAGAGGGUGACCGGCCACACUGGGACUGAGACACGGCCCAGACUCCUACGGGAGGCAGCAGUGGGGAAUAUUGGACAAUGGGCGAAAGCCUGAUCCAGCAACGCCGCGUGAGGGAUGACGGCCUUCGGGUUGUAAACCUCUUUCAGUACCGACGAAGCGCCAAUAACGGUGGUGACGGUAGGUACAGAAGAAGGACCGGCCAACUACGUGCCAGCAGCCGCGGUAAUACGUAUGGUCCGAGCGUUGUCCGGAAUUAUUGGGCGUAAAGGGCUCGUAGGCGGUCUGUUGCGUCGGGAGUGAAAACUUACAGCUUAACUGUGAGCGUGCUUCCGAAUCGG